AUUGAACGCUGGCGGAAUGCUUUACACAUGCAAGUCGAACGGCAGCACGGACUUCGGUCUGGUGGCGAGUGGCGAACGGGUGAGUAAUGUAUCGGAACGUGCCCAGUCGUGGGGGAUAACGUAGUGAAAAUUACGCUAAUACCGCAUACGAUCUAUGGAUGAAAGCGGGGGAUCGCAAGACCUCGCGCGAUUGGAGCGGCCGAUAUCAGAUUGGGUAGUUGGUGGGGUAAAGGCCCACCAAGCCAACGAUCUGUAGCUGGUCUGAGAGGACGACCAGCCACACUGGAACUGAGACACGGUCCAGACUCCUACGGGAGGCAGCAGUGGGGAAUUUUGGACAAUGGGCGAAAGCCUGAUCCAGCCAUUCCGCGUGCAGGAUGAAGGCCCUCGGGUUGUAAACUGCUUUUGUACAGAACGAAAAGGUUUCUACUAAUACUAGGAGCUCAUGACGGUACUGUAGGAAUAAGCACCGGCUAACUACGUGCCAGCAGCCGCAGUAA
rnacentral:rRNA from 1 species